rnacentral:rRNA from 1 species
UACGAAGGGGGCUAGCGUUGCUCGGAAUCACUGGGCGUAAAGCGCACGUAGGCGGCUUCUUAAGUCAGGGGUGAAAUCCUGGAGCUCAACACCAGAACUGCCUUUGAUACUGAGGAGCUUGAGUCCGGGAGAGGUGAGUGGAACUGCGAGUGUAGAGGUGAAAUUCGUAGAUAUUCGCAAGAACACCAGUGGCGAAGGCGGCUCACUGGCCCGGUACUGACGCUGAGGUGCGAAAGCGUGGGGAGCAAACAGG